rnacentral:rRNA from 1 species
UCCGUAGGUGGAUAAUUAAGUCAGAGGUGAAAGUCUGCAGCUCAACUGUAGAAUUGCCUUUGAUACUGGUUAUCUUGAAUUAUUAUGAAGUAGUUAGAAUAUGUAGUGUAGCGGUGAAAUGCAUAGAUAUUACAUAGAAUACCAAUUGCGAAGGCAGAUUACUAAUAAUAUAUUGACACUGAUGGACGAAAGCGUGGGGAGCGAACAGGAUUAGAUACCCUGGUAGUCC